CUGACAGUUCUUGAGUAUUUCCAAUGAGGGAGAUUCCACAGUCUCUCUGGGUAAUCUGUUACAGAUUAAAUUAAACUAUUUCAGUUGACAAAUUUCUUUUCUUGUCCCCAUCUAUUUCCCCCAUUUAUUUCCCUGACAGAGCUCGGAGCAAGCCUUCCUCUCUUCCUACCAUAGCACCUCCUUAUGCUGUGGCUCUGUUUACCGCAGUUCCCGGGGACUACCUGUGCUGCUCACCAUCAGGUGACCUGUACAGCAUUUGCUAGCAUCAGCUUCAGACAAGUCAAGCCACAUCAAAUUUUCAGCGGUUCUUUGGCAGUAUCAUGACAUCAAUGAAGCCACACCCCUCCAUGGUCCUGUCAGAUGUCCUGGACUCUGUUGCUUCCCCAGGAAUGUUAAAUCCAGGAGGAGAUGUCUGUCAUCCCAUGGUCGGAGAAGAGGAGGACAUUAACUUCAUUCUGAAGGCCUUUGCUCUGUAAAGCAAGUGCAUGACAGCAGUUAUGGUUGUAAGUUUCCAAGUAAACGACUAAGGAAAGCUUGCUGAAGAAAGUUGGAUGGCACCGAUGGCAAUACCAAAAAGAGUGUUUAGAGAAGAUAUCACUGCACUUCAGCUGAAGCAGCUGCGUACGCAGUUAGCACAGGCUGCUGGAAAAUAAAGGAGUUUGAGCACCUAUGGUGACACAAUCCAGUGGGCUGAGGAUCACUCCAAAGCUUUGACUUUGCCAAGACUGCUGGAAUGCUCUUGCACUCCUCUGGGCAUUCUCCAUCCACUGGAGCAGCAGUGCUUCAGACAGGCAACCUGGGCAUGAGCCUGAGAAUUUCACCUCAUGUAGAUUGUGAAGAGAGGAGAAAAAUGUCCUUACAAGCCCAGGUCUUACAUUUUGUCAGAAUUGGUGGUUGGGACCCCUGGCAUGGUGAUAUUUUGGCUCCUCUGCUUCCAGCAUCAGGAGAUCCCAGAUGAGUUCUGCCCAUGAGUUGUCUUUGCUGGGUUUACAUUGGGCUCACAGAUAAAGUUGUCAUGGAUGGUCAUUUGCACCCGACAACCCUCCUGCUCUGUGUUCCUGUUUGCUGGGGUCUGGAUUUUACUUCUUUAAGCACUGACUACACAUGAGAGAGGAAUGUAGGGAAGAAUAUGAAGCAGCAGAUUUUGCAUUCAGACUUUGCAAAGCUUGGAACUGGCCCUGAGGAGGAAAUGGCAGUGGCGUAAGUUAAUCCUGGGAAUCAGCUCUCUGGCAUUUCUGCUAUGGUUGAUUGAUUUCAUUUGUCUUCAAUGCUGGCUAAAGAGAAAAUAGCAUCUUCCAGAACAAAGUGUGUUGAAUUUGGCUCUAUACUGCUGUUCUUAUGAAGAGUUUCUGAAACUUUUCCUGUUUGGUUCUUUAUCAUAUUUGUAAGAUUCACUACUAAGCAGAAGUAUAUCCUCAGGCUGGAAAGCUAAUCACUAACAGCAGAUUAUAUGUAGUGCAAAUGUCUGUGGGACCUCUACUCGCCUUGGUUAUGAAAUCUUUUUUUUUAUUAUUUUCAUUUUGUUUAGUAUUGCUUCCAAGUCAAAUGUCUUGUUAAGAAUUAAAGUUUUAAAAUGAUAGAUCUAGAAUUUUUAUAAAGGAUUUCGUCCUUACUAUGGAACUAGAAAACAGUUUAAAAAGUUGUAUAGGGAAAAUGUAAUAAAUAUUACUGCAUUUGGAGUGACUUCUGUUUACCCCAGAUACACCUGGAGUCCUACUGCAGCCCAACAACCCUGUGUUUUAGUUCAAUAGUUCUACAUUUCACCCCACUUCCUGCCCUGUGCCUGACCUUGUAUGGCAUAUGUGUCCUUUGAGACCAUGAAUAUCCUUAAAAUAAGCAUGUGCUUAAGCGUUUGCUGAACUGAGGCACUGAUGGCUUUGCCAAAGGUCACUCAUCACAGAUAAAUAAUUAAGGAGAGACAGAUGUACAUGUCACAGUCCACAGCUAAAAUACUAGAUCCACAAAAAA